GAUCCUCGGCGCCGCCGGCGCCCGUGUUGUGGAGGGGGAGUUCGUGUUGCGGACACCCUAGCCGGUGACCUCUGGCCCUCGGCACUGCCCUCCGGGCGCCGCUGGCUGGUGCCGUAUGCUGAACCCUGGAACCCAGUGACCAUCUCUGCCAGACAACAACCAUCCAUCUUGUUAUUGCCUCUGUGUUGAAUUAGUUUUCUGAAAUUGACGAAUGCAUUAGUAGUUAGCAUUUGUGAUACUGCAAUUGUACUAGUCAGUCUCUGUCAGCAAGAUGUAUUGUUAGUAGUUGCUGUGUUGUUUUUUUCUAUUUGCAGAUUUGCUUUCUUUUUGUAGCAGACCUUAAAAACCAUGCAUAUGUGUAUGUCUUGUGUAUGCUUGGAUGGUCAGUUUUAUCUUACAUAGCUCUGUCAUAUUUGACUGCUGAAAGUAUUCUAUUAUUGCCCAUUUCAGGAAUUCUAUGGAGAGGCGCCAAACGGUGUGGCUGUGCUUGAUGCUAGGAUUGUGGACCGGGAUAGGGACAAUAGAGAGAUGACGCUACAGACAAGGCUAGAUGAUGGACCUGGUGACCUAAAGUUUACUGAGACCGUGUAGCAACUGAAUGCAAAGAAUGCAUUGUAGCUGUGAAAUAUGUAAAUAGAGUUCCCACUGUUGUAAAUUAUGUAGAUUGUAACUGAUCAAUGGGAUUGAGUUCCCUGGUCAAAUGUGAAUAUAUAUAUAUGAGUUUGUUCAUGAAUCUGAAUGUGAGCCCAAAUCUGAAUGUGUGUUUGAGUUUGAAUUUAAUGUGAAUGUCUUUGUUGUUGUCACCAAUGUGGAUGAAAUAUGUCCAAUUCAGUUUGCA
rnacentral:lncRNA from 1 species